CCUACGGGUGGCAGCAGUGGGGGAUAUUGCACAAUGGGGGAAACCCUGAUGUAGCGACGCCGCGUGUGGGAAGACGGUCUUCUGGAUUGUAAACCACUGUCCCCAGGGACGAAAAUGACGGUACCUGGGGAGGAAGCUCCGGCUAACUACGUGCCAGCAGCCGCGGUAAUACGUAGGGAGCAAGCGUUGUCCGGAAUGACUGGGUGGAAAGGGAGCGUAGGCGGGGGUGCAAGUUGGGUGUCAAAACUACCGGCUCAACCGAUAGUGGCACUCAAAACUGCAACUCUUGAGUGAAGUAGAGGCAGGCGGAAUUCCUAGUGUAGCGGUGAAAUGCGUAGAUAUUAGGAGGAACACCAGUGGCGAAGGCGGCCUGCUGGGCUUUUACUGACGCUGAGGCUCGAAAGUGUGGGGAGCAAACAGGAUUAGAUACCCUAGUAGUC
rnacentral:rRNA from 1 species